rnacentral:rRNA from 1 species
CUACACAUGCAGUCGAGCGGGAUCUUCGGAUCUAGCGGCGGACGGGUUAGUAACGCGUGGGAACGUACCCAGAUCUACGGAAUAGCCUCGGGAAACUGAGAGUAAUACCGUAUACGCCCUUCGGGGGAAAGAUUUAUCGGAUUUGGAUCGGCCCGCGUAAGAUUAGAUAGUUGGUGGGGUAAUGGCCUACCAAGUCUACGAUCUUUAGCUGGUUUGAGAGGAUGAUCAGCAACACUGGGACUGAGACACGGCCCAGACUCCUACGGGAGGCAGCAGUGGGGAAUCUUAGACAAUGGGCGCAAGCCUGAUCUAGCGAUGCCGCGUGAGUGAUGAAGGCCUUAGGGUCGUAAAGCUCUUUCGCCUGUGAAGAUAAUGACGGUAGCAGGUAAAGAAACCCCGGCUAACUCCGUGCCAGCAGCCGCGGUAAUACGGAGGGGGUUAGCGUUGUUCGGAAUUACUGGGCGUAAAGCGCACGUAGGCGGACUAGUCAGUCAGGGGUGAAAUCCCAGGGCUCAACCCUGGAACUGCCUUUGAUACUGCUAGUCUUGAGUUCGAGAGAGGUAAGUGGGAAUUCCGAGUGUAGAGGUGAAAUUCGUAGAUAUUCGGAGGAACACCAGUGGCGAAGGCGGCUUACUGGCUCGAUACUGACGC